CAUUAUAACAGUUCCCCAGUUGACCAUCUCGGGAGUGGAUGGGAGUGUCCAGAGUCGUAAAAAUUAUGGAAACCGAAUGCGAAUCCCGGGCACUUGAUGGCGGCGCAUGGCGGCCAUUCGAAUGGAUCAACGAACCCGAAAAUAACAGAUGCAGAUAUGCAGCGAUAAGGUCGAACAAUUAUCAAUUGCGAUUGCUUCAUUCGAAUCGCAAUGGAGCCUCCGUUUUGGGGCUGUUUCUCCCGCCUCCAACUCGUCAAACUGGUUACCUGAUGCAACUUGGCCUGCCGCUGGGCAUAAAUUGCAAUUUACGGUAAGCGGCUCGGCUUUGGCUAAAUAAUUCCCUAUCGCCGGAGGGAAGGAACGGGUUUCGGCAGCCAUAAAUCCUCGUCGAUGUCUCCAUUUUCGUGUACAUCCAUUGGGCGGCCAUUACAACCACAAUUGACACAGUGAUUUACGGCAAUAAAAAUUAUUCACCUGCACAACCAGCCAACACACACAUGCGAAUCGGAGGACAACACACCUGGGGAGGAGGCGAAGUGGAGGAGUUGGGACCGCAGGCGACGCUUUGUCAUAAAAAAUAAAACGAAAUUGUCGUCAUUUUUAUGACUCCCUACCGUGGGCCCGGUUAAGAUUGAGAUUCCAGCUUUUCGGGCAGUGGGAAGUCGUAUUUUAGGCAGCUCCUUAAAAAGUCACUUGAACGGAAAACGCAAUGUAAGCCCAUACCCAUUGGUGACUAAGGAAAUACAGAAGCCGGUGAACGGUAAAGCUUCUGGGGCUUUGUGGACUUUUCUUUUAAUGAGCUGUCAGAAUUAUCAUAAAGCAAUUAAACGCAUUUCACACUCAUAACCGUAGGCAAGUAUUCAAUCCACACGCACUGCCACGCCCCCAAAAACGAUUCGACCGCCCCUCCGGCGAGCCGUGUCUUUGCCACUGACACUAAUUGGUUGCUUUAUGGCCCAGUUAAAUCGUAAAACUCAAAUUUUAUGCUUUGUCACUGAAACGAUUAUGACGUCCGUUGCUCGUCCUCGUCGUCGUCCUCCCAAGAUCCCUCGAUUCUGCCGUCAAUCCGGGAAUCCCGUCAAGUGGCUUCAUCUCCGGCGUUCGUUGCCAUAAUGCCCCUUGAUUUAUGUCUCUGCCCGAGUUAUUUGCGCCAAUUUACAGAUUGAUUUCGGUCUUAAGAUUUUACUGUCCCCUGUUUAUUCAUCGCCUUUUGCACCUACUUAAUUUGCCUCUGCUUCUGGACCUAUGCUUUAUUGCUGUUACCAAGUUGUGGAAUCACUGGGUACCAAAUCUUUCGUAUUUUUUCGUCGGGCUAAAACAAAACCAGUUUGCAUUUCAGGGUAUGGACCGAUUUGAACCCAUCAAAAUUAAGGAGCGUAUUAAAAUUUCAGAUAAACAAAUCCUGAAAUGUAUUUAUUAAUUAUUAAUUUAACUUAAUUUAUGCUUUGCAAAUAAAUAAAAGUAAUGUGACUUUAAGCACAGCUUAA